rnacentral:rRNA from 1 species
UACAGAAGAAGCACCGGCUAACUCCGUGCCAGCAGCCGCGGUAAUACGGGAGGGUGCGAGCGUUAAUCGGAAUUACUGGGCGUAAAGCGCAUGCAGGCGGCCUGUUAAGUCAGAUGUGAAAGCCCGGGGCGUUAACCUCGGAAUUGCAUUUGAAACUGGCAGGCUAGAGUCUUGUAGAGGGGGGUAGGAAUUUCAGGUGUAGCGGUGAAAUAGCGUAGAGAUCUGAAGGAAUACCAGUGGCGAAGGCGGCCCCCUCGGACAAAGACUGACGCUCAGAUGCGAAAGCGUAGGGAGCAAACAGGAUUAGAUACCCUGGUAG